CCAUAUUCUUGCUGGAGAAAUUAUUUUUAUUUUGCACCAAAAUCCAAAUUCUCUUCUGAAGACUGGAAUGGAUUGUCCCUGGUAGUCCCUCAAAGUCAGGCUGCAGGGGUUCUGAUGGUUCUUUUUGAUGGGUGGCACCAGAUUCUUCA